rnacentral:tRNA from 4 species
GGCCCUAUGGUCAAGCGGUUAAGACACCGCCCUUUCACGGCGGUAACCCGGGUUCGAGUCCCGGUAGGGUCACCA